rnacentral:rRNA from 1 species
GGAAUUGUUCGCAAUGGGCGCAAGCCUGACGACGCAACGCCGCGUGGAGGACGAAGAUCUUCGGGUCGUAAACUCCUUUCGAUCGGGAUGAAUUUCCGCUGACCUAAUACGUCGGCGGGGUGACAGUACCGGCAGAAGAAGCCCCGGCCAACUGCGUGCCAGCAGCCGCGGUAAUACGGGGGGGGCAAGCGUUGUUCGGAAUUACUGGGCGUAAAGGGUUCGUAGGUGGCCCGCUAAGUCAGACGUGAAAUCCCUCAGCUCAACUGGGGAACUGCGUCUGAAACUGGCGGGCUUGAGUGCAGGAGAGGAACGCGGAAUUCCAGGUGUAGCGGUGAAAUGCGUAGAUAUCUGGAGGAACACCGGUGGCGAAGGCGACGUUCUGGACUGCAACUGACACUGAGGAACGAAAGCCAGGGGAGCAAAC